ACGAGACCUUCGGGUCUAGUGGCGCACGGGUGCGUAACGCGUGGGAAUCUGCCCUUUGGUACGGAAUAACUCAGAGAAAUUUGUGCUAAUACCGUAUAAUGACUUCGGUCCAAAGAUUUAUCGCCAAAGGAUGAGCCCGCGUAAGAUUAGCUAGUUGGUGAGGUAAAAGCUCACCAAGGCGACGAUCUUUAGCUGGUCUGAGAGGAUGAUCAGCCACACUGGGACUGAGACACGGCCC
rnacentral:rRNA from 1 species